rnacentral:rRNA from 1 species
AACCGGAUUAGAUACCCUGGUAGUCCACGCCGUAAACGAUGAUAACUCGAUGUGUGCGAUAAACAGUACGCGUCUAAGCGAAAGUGAUAAGUUAUCCACCUGGGGAGUACGUCCGCAAGGAUGAAACUCAAAGGAAUUGACGGGGGCCCGCACAAGCGGAGGAGCAUGUGGUUUAAUUCGAUGAUACGCGAGGAACCUUACCUGGGCUUAAAUGUAGGACGACUUAUUGGGAAACCAGUAUUUCUUCGGACGUUUUACAAGGUGCUGCAUGGUUGUCGUCAGCUCGUGCCGUGAGGUGUCGGGUUAAGUCCCAUAACGAGCGCAACCCCUAUCCUUAGUUGCCAGCACGUCAUGGUGGGGACUCUAAGGGAACUGCCUACGCAAGUAGAGAGGAAGGUGGGGAUGACGUCAAAUCAGCACGGCCCUUAUGUCCAGGGCUACACACGUGCUACAAUGGGUGGUACAGAGGGCCGCUACCUGGCGACAGGGUGCCAAUCUCAAAAACCAUUCUCAGUUCGGAUUGAAGUCUGCAACUCGACUUCAUGAAGUUGGAUUCGCUAGUAAUCGCGCAUCAGCAAUGGCGCGGUGAAUACGUUCCCGGGCCUUGUACACACCGCCCGUCAAGCCAUGGGAGUUGGGGGUACCUGAAGUCGAUAACCGCAAGGAGUCGCCUAGGGUAAAACCAAUGACUGGGGCUAAGUCGUAACAAGGUACC